UACGAAGGGGGCUAGCGUUGUUCGGAAUUACUGGGCGUAAAGCGCGCGCAGGCGGUCUUCCAAGUCAGUGGUGAAAGCCCGGAGCUCAACUCCGGAACUGCCAUUGAAACUGUGAGACUUGAGGAUGAGAGAGGUGAGUGGAAUUCCCAGUGUAGAGGUGAAAUUCGUAGAUAUUGGGAAGAACACCGGUGGCGAAGGCGGCGAGCUGGUCCAUUACUGACGCUGAGGCGCGACAGCGUGGGGAGCAAACAGG
rnacentral:rRNA from 1 species